UCCCUUUCGCUCUCCCUCCCUUCAGCAGGGUAAAGACUGAAAAAUAAAACCCUGCCACCUGUAGAAGUUUGUUGGGGUGAAGAGACCCCCAUGCGGCUCACAGAGGAGCUUGUGGAUGCACCAGAGAUUUGUGACUUUAACAGAGAGAAAGCCUUAUACUGGAGUAAAAGCGGCUCAGAUGAGGCAGAGUCCUGUUAAAGACUUUGUGACCCUCGAAGGGAUCGAUGCUUAUGCUGGAGCGAGACGGCUCAGAUACGCUUGGGAUCUCAGUGAGAGAUCCAUGCUGCUGCUGUUGAAGAUUUAUGACCCUGACGGGUAUUAGAACCUACGCUGGAACACAAAACGGUUCAGGUAGGGAUGUUGGGAUCCAUGUGUGGGAUCCGUGCUGCUGGUGCUAGAGAGAACCUACGCUGGAGCAGAAAAUGGCUCAGGUGGGAUAUUGGGAUCCGAGUAAGGGAUCCAGACUGGACCCAUGCCGAGAAGUCAAUCAAGGACUGUUCUCCCAUGGGGAGGGACCUCCAUAGGGAAACAGGGGUGAACUCUUAAACCAUUAUCCCCUGUAACCCUGUGGAAGAAGAUCCAUAGUAAGCAAGUGUCCCCUUGCAAGCCUAUGGAAGGAGACCCUUCAGGACCUGGGUAACCCUCAACCUUCGGUUUUAACCCAGGAGGGGGGUAGGCCCAGCCCUGGAGGCCAACACAGAAUAAGAGAGAGAUAAAGAAGUUCCAACUGCGACGAAAGUGCUGCAGAGUUACUGGAGAGAGAGAGAGCUGGAAUUCUGAGAACAGAAAAAGACUGCUUCUCCUCCUUGGACUGAUAUAAAGGGAAGUGGGGGGAGAAGCAUCUUCUGUAAAUACAUAAUACCUUUUACUUAAGUAGAAUUGUUGUAAAUAUAAUUCUUUAGUGUUAGCUUGUUAAUAAUAAAUACUCAUACUUUUUUUUAA